rnacentral:tRNA from 1 species
GCGGGUAUAGCUCAGGGGUAGAGCGCAACCUUGCCAAGGUUGAUGUCGAGGGUUCAAAUCCCUUUGCCCGCU